UGAGGAAUAUUGGACAAUGGGCGCAAGCCUGACGGAGCAAUGCCGCGUGUGGGAUGAAGCGUCUCUGACGUGUAAACCACUGUCAGGGGUUAGAAACAAUGAUCAACCCCAAAGGAAGUGGCGACUAACUCUGUGCCAGCAGUCGCGGUAAUACAGAGGCCACAAGCGUUAGUCGGAAUCACUGGGCUUAAAGGGUGCGUAGGCUGGUCCGCAAGCGUCUUGUGAAAGCCCUCGGCUCAACCGAGGAACAGCAGGGCGAACUGCGGAUCUUGAGGCAGGUAGGGGUCGCGAGAACAGUAGGUGGAGCGGUGAAAUGCGUAGAUAUCUACUGGAAUGCCGAUGGUGAAGACGCGCGACUGGGCCUGUCCUGACGCUGAGGCACGAAAGCGUGGGGAGCAAACAGGAUUAGAUACCCAGGUAGUCCCUGAGCGGGCUGGCAAGGCGCAU
rnacentral:rRNA from 1 species